AGCCAACGAUUGGUCUCAUAAACAAAUUCGUAAGUGCUGCUGCAAUCUAUUUCUAGUUGUACAAUUACUAAAGUUUCAUUAUCACCACCUCCUUUUCUCUAUCGAUUUUCCCUCUGUCUUACAGAAAGCCGAAAGCGGACAUUCUGAGGAAAAACCUGUACCUAAACCUGAGCCGAUACCUGGUGAAAAGCAAGAUUGUAAACCAACCGACGCAUGUAGUGGUAACGGUGGCUAUUGCAUAGCAAACAGCGAGAAAAAAAGACUGCGACGGCCUCCUCUUUCCAAAUGAGUGUAGAUCUGCCCUGUGCUCCUGCUGUGUACAAGUGAAAAAGAACGAAUGCGCAGCAGGGACAGACACCUGCCCCGCCAACUCAGAAUGCAAGACUAAAGAAGCGGGAUAUGAAUGUGCUUGCAACGCAGGCUUUGAGCAAAGUGGAGAUAUAAAUGAAUGUGACAGCGAUCCAUGUGGUCCAAACAUGCGGUGCCAAAAUACACCUGGAAG